GAUGAACGCUGGCGGCGUGCCUAAUACAUGCAAGUCGAGCGAACAGACGAGGAGCUUGCUCCUCUGACGUUAGCGGCGGACGGGUGAGUAACACGUGGAUAACCUACCUAUAAUACUGGGAUAACUUCGGGAAACCGGAGCUAAUACCGGAUAAUAUAUUUAACCGCAUGGUUCAAUAGUGAAAGACGGUUUUGCUGUCACUUAUAGAUGGAUCCGCGCCGCAUUAGCUAGUUGGUAAGGUAACGGCUUACCAAGGCAACGAUGCGUAGCCGACCUGAGAGGGUGAUCGGCCACACUGGAACUGAGACACGGUCCAGACUCCUACGGGAGGCAGCAGUAGGGAAUCUUCCGCAAUGGGCGAAAGCCUGACGGAGCAACGCCGCGUGAGUGAUGAAGGUCUUCGGAUCGUAAAACUCUGUUAUUAGGGAAGAACAAAUGUGUAAGUAACUAUGCACGUCUUGACGGUACCUAAUCAGAAAGCCACGGCUAACUACGUG
rnacentral:rRNA from 1 species